UAAUUAUAGACUGGUAGAAUUUAUCUGCUGUGAAAUUGACCAGGAUGUAUUUGACUGCCUUGAUCAACUGUCCAUAUAAUCAUUAUGUUCUGGAGGGUCCAAACUCGAACCUAACAUUCUUGAGGUACUACAAGCCUUAGGAGAGAAGCCAUUUGCCAAAAAAUGUCCAAAAUACAUUUGAAGUGAUGAUCAUCAUCAACGGCUUUGGGUGAAGGUUGUCUGUAAUUGCCAAGUCAACAUUUACCAAGCCAAUAUCUGGUGCCUCUCGCAAGCUGAAGAAUAUAUAGAAAAACCAACAUUCAUCACAUUUGAUCUUGCAGCUACCAGACUUGUGUUGGACAAGGAGCCUUGCCCUGUAUUACUCGAACUGGAGCGGUGGAGGUAGAGUCCGGGGAUAUUUUCACUAUCUGUGUUCUUCCCAGAAUUCCUAUAUGACCUGGAGGUAGACUCGGGAGAUAUCAAAAUUUCACUGUCGUGUUCUUCCAAGAAUUCCCUUAGAGUCUGGAGCAGAGCAAACCACCAGAAUAGUCUGCAAUGGAACCUUAGUUUUUGCUCAUGGAUAAUUUUGACAACUUUAUUGUAUUAUUGUACAGACGGCAUUUUCUAGGGUUAAGGAAAUUCAGUGUAGCAUUGUACUGACAUUUUUAUGAAUUAUCUUCGGUUACGAAAAUUUAAUUUUGUAUUGUUUACUUGAUAUUUUCUAGGAUUUAUCUGGAGAUAUAGAAAUUAAUGCAUUAUUGUAUAUACUUUAUAUGAUUUAUUUGGGCUAUUUUAAUUAUUCAACAGUAUAACUCUC